AUGAAUCCCAGUGCUCAGCUUUCCCCAGCUCCCCCAAAGAAACGUCAGCAGGAAAACCUGCUGCCAGAAGCAGCAAGCGUGGGGGAAAACCCCCCAGAAAAGACACUUCCCUUUGUCCGGUGGAGACCUCAGCACAGGGGAAAGGAGAAGGGUGCAGGCGGUGACAGCGAAGGAGGAAGCAAACGGCCCCCGCAUUGCAGGGGACGUGCACAGCACUGCCUUGGUCCCACAGCCCUCGAGGGACCACCGCUGUCACCUCCCAGCCCAGCCACUGUCACUCCUCGUCCCUUCCAGUGUGCCGAAGCCUCCGCCAGCCCCCUCGUCAGGGCAGGGCAUGAGUGGCAGCAGCAGCCCGAGCCGACAGGGGCAGGGAGCACGUCCCUCUCCCAGAGGACACCCUGCACUCGGGCAUCGGGACCAGCUGCCAGCGAACCCCAAAAGCCCAGCACUGAGCGGGGCGGCAUCAGGCCCCUGGGGAGCCGAGCAUGCCGCGGCCCCGAGCCUGCAGCAUCCCGGGUCACCGUCACACGCAGCGGCCGGGUGCCGAGGGCUUUCCCGCAGGCUCUGGUGGCACCGGGAGCACCGGCACCGGGAGCUGUUCCCUGGCACAUCCCGGGUCCAGCAGCUGGCCUGGCCGUCCCCGAGCGCUGGGGAUGGGACGGGAAGUGGCGGAGGUGUGAAGGCGUGGGCACACCGCAGCGCAGCCGCCCGCGGCCCCGUGUCCUCGCUGCUGCUGGGACGGGGGGCGGCGGGGCCCCGGCAGCCCCCCCAGAGCCCCGCAUCGGGCGGCACCUCCACGGGGUGCGCCCGGGGCACCCCAGCACCACCCCACCUCUCCCCUCCUCGCACCCCGGUGUCACCUUCCCGUCCCCCCCGGACGUCGCACGCCCACCCCGGGACCCCCCUCCCGGACCACCCGGGGACAGGACGGGGCCAGACCCGUGCCAGCGCGGUGCAGGACCCCGGCAGCACCGGCUGUCCCGGGCACGGACCGGCCGGCUGGGCAGCCCGGUACCGGUCCCGGGAGCUCCGCGCGCCCCGCCGCUCCCCGGGGCUCCGCUCUCACCUCGGCCGCCGUCCCGGGGCACGUCCCGGGGCACGUCCCGGUCCCGCUCCCGGUCCCGCUCCCGGUCCCGCUCCCGCUCCCGGUCCCGCUCCCGGAGCCGGGGCUGCCGCCGCCGCGCUCGGCUCGGGUGCGCGCCGCGCCCCGCCCCGUCGAGGCCCCGCCCCUCCCGGUGA
rnacentral:lncRNA from 1 species